AAUGGUAGUCUGCAAAGGGCGAGACUCCAUAGAUCUGUACAAGUUUGAAAUCGGUGAUAUAUAUUGGAGAGGGCUACAUUGAACAUAAUGACCUUUCCUCUACCAUUCUGAAUUUUCGAUGUAUUCAAAACUUCAGUCGACGACGAAUCGAGAAUCCCUGACGGAUGACAGAUGUACAGCACAGUCUUGUCAAGAUGCAGUUACUUGCCAAAUCCCUAAUUUUUGCCUAGAUUGCCCCAGUGUGAGGUGUUCAAUCUAGCGGGAUGCAAAUUCUCUUUUUUUUUUUUUCAAUGUCUCUAACUUUUGCCUGGAUCGCCCUUUCGGGUUUUCAAUCCACCGAGACGCUCUUU
rnacentral:lncRNA from 1 species